GACGAACGCUGGCGGCGUGCCUAAUACAUGCAAGUAGAACGCACAGGAUGCACCGUAGUUUACUACACCGUAUUCUGUGAGUUGCGAACGGGUGAGUAACGCGUAGGUAACCUGCCUGGUAGCGGGGGAUAACUAUUGAAAACGAUAGCUAAUACCGCAUAAGAACAUUUACUGCAUGGUAGAUGUUUAAAAGGUGCAAAUGCAUCACUACCAGAUGGACCUGCGUUGUAUUAGCUAGUAGGUGAGGUAACGGCUCACCUAGGCGACGAUACAUAGCCGACCUGAGAGGGUGAUCGGCCACACUGGGACUGAGACACGGCCCAGACUCCUACGGGAGGCAGCAGUAGGGAAUCUUCGGCAAUGGGGGGAACCCUGACCGAGCAACGCCGCGUGAGUGAAGAAGGUUUUCGGAUCGUAAAGCUCUGUUGUUAAGGAAGAACGAGUGUGAGAAUGGAAAGUUUCAUACUGUGACGGUACUUAACCAGAAAGGACGGCUAAACAA
rnacentral:rRNA from 1 species